GACCAGACUCCUACGGGAGGCAGCAGUGGGGAAUAUUGCACAAUGGGGGAAACCCUGAUGCAGCGACGCCGCGUGAGCGAUGAAGUAUUUCGGUAUGUAAAGCUCUAUCAGCAGGGAAGAAAGUGACGGUACCUGACUAAGAAGCCCCGGCUAACUACGUGCCAGCAGCCGCGGUAAUACGUAGGGGGCAAGCGUUAUCCGGAUUUACUGGGUGUAAAGGGAGCGUAGACGGCAAUGCAAGCCAGAUGUGAAAGCCCGGGGCUCAACCCCGGGACUGCAUUUGGAACUGUGUAGCUGGAGUGUCGGAGAGGCAGGCGGAAUUCCUAGUGUAGCGGUGAAAUGCGUAGAUAUUAGGAGGAACACCAGUGGCGAAGGCGGCCUGCUGGACGAUGACUGACGUUGAGGCUCGAAAGCGUGGGGAGCAAACAGGAUUAGAUACCCGAGUA
rnacentral:rRNA from 1 species